rnacentral:rRNA from 1 species
CCUACGGGUGGCAGCAGUGGGGAAUAUUGCACAAUGGGGGAAACCCUGAUGCAGCGACGCCGCGUGAGCGAUGAAGUAUUUCGGUAUGUAAAGCUCUAUCAGCAGGGAAGAAAAUGACGGUACCUGACUAAUAAGCCCCGGCUAACUACGUGCCAGCAGCCGCGGUAAUACGUAGGGGGCAAGCGUUAUCCGGAUUUACUGGGUGUAAAGGGAGCGUAGACGGCUGUGCAAGUCAGAUGUGAAAGCCUGGGGCUCAACCCCGGGACUGCAUUUGAAACUGUGGGUCUGGAGUGUCGGAGAGGUAGGCGGAAUUCCUAGUGUAGCGGUGAAAUGCGUAGAUAUUAGGAGGAACACCAGUGGCGAAGGCGGCCUGCUGGACUAUAACUGACGUUGAGGCUCGAAAGCGUGGGGAGCAAACAGGAUUAGAUACCCCAGUAGUC